UACGUAGGGGGCAAGCGUUGUCCGGAUUUAUUGGGCGUAAAGAGCGUGUAGGCGGCCUUACAGGUCAGCUGUGAAACUCGAGGCUCAACCUCGAGACGUCGGUUGAAACCGUAUGGCUAGAGUCCGGAAGAGGAGAGUGGAAUUCCCGGUGUAGCGGUGAAAUGCGCAGAUAUCGGGAAGAACACCCGUGGCGAAGGCGGCUCUCUGGGACGGUACUGACGCUGAGACGCGAAAGCGUGGGGAGCAAACAGG
rnacentral:rRNA from 1 species